rnacentral:lncRNA from 10 species
CGCAGCGAGAAGGAUCGCCAUCACACGGCGCACUGGUGCGGCUUCUCCCCCGAGUGGAUGAACAUGUGCUUGGUGUCGUUUUUCCUUGAGCUGAACGUCUUGCAACAGUGGCCGCACGCAUAGGGCUGACCCCACAUUGGACACCGCUGCAUCCAUGUCCAUCACACAACACAGCUGCCGUUUCUUCUGCCUGCUUAUGGGAAAGUCCCCUCUUCUCCUCCGUUUUCUUCUCUUCCUGCCCUAUCACACCGUGCACUUCUCCCUUUCCUUAAAGAACCACCAUCAACUUUAGGAGGAGGGAAAGGGGUGGCUCUGGCAGGAAAAGCCAGAAUCCCCUCUAGCCAGCAGAGAGAGAGAGGAAUGGCUGCAUGUUUUCUCCCCCAGUCCAAGGCACUGGGUCUUGGCUGGGUUGAAGGUUCCAAGCUGCUCUCCUGCUGUGUCGGUGAGUUCUGGUCAACCUGCAACCUCCUGAUAUGGCCAUUGCAGUUCAUCGAGUCUUCAGGGACUCCCCAUGGCCUGGAGUACUUUGCCUUGCUUACACGGGAGAGGAGAAUGGAUUUAUAGAGAACAUCAUCUAAAUCCAACUUGACCAUUGUGUGGCCACACUUGCUAGAUUGCUAUAGUCUAAAUCUAGCAUUGUAGAAAGACGGGGGAGCUUGGAGCUGCACAAACCCAGGUCUGGAACUGGCUCCUUACCUUGGAAGGUGAAUGAUCCUGCCAGGACUCUUAGCCUCCCUGGGUCUCAAUUUCUUUAUCUGUUUCAUGGGAAUGAGGAUCUCUGCUGGGUGGUUGGGUGAUGUGGGGGCUGUGUGAAAACAGCUUGUCAAUACAAGCCAAAAUAGAAAUAUUUCUCCACAGAGUAUGAAGGUCAAAUGAGAGAAUACAUUUAAAUUAAAUGGAAAAUUAAAAUGGUAAAAAAUGCAAAGCUGUAUUGAAAGUUCCGAGCUUCUCUAUAAGGAGCUUUUUGACUAUGGAAGAAUCCUGUACUCGUUCCCCCUAAAUAUAAAAAAAAAGUUGAAGGAGGCAGAAGGGAGAGUGAUGCACGAUGGGCAAGGACUUCACCUGCUGUUGCUGGCUUUGAGGAUGGAGGAAGGAGGCCACAAACCUAGAAGCUGGAGCCCCUAGAAGCUAGAAAAGGCAGGGACCCGAUUCUUUCCUUGAGCCUCCAGAAGGGACACAGCCCCGCCAGCACCUUGACUUUAGCCUGGUGAGAUCCUCUUAGGACUUUUGGCAAUCAGAACUAUAAGACAGAAAUGGAAGCCACUGAGUCUGUAGCUGUUUGUUGCAGCAGCAAUAGAAAACUAAUGCAGGGCCCAAGAAAUCACUGGUGAUGAGAUCGGGAAAGUGGGCUCAGGAGGUCUGGAUCUGUGAUGAGAUGGGGAAAGUGGGCUCAAGAGGUCUGGAUCUGUGGUGAGAUGGGGGAAGUGGGCUCAGGAGGUCUGGAUCUGUGAUGAGAUGGGGAAAGUGGGCUCAGGAGGUCUGGAUCUGUGAUGAGAUGGGGAAAGUGGGCUCAGGAGGUCUGGAUCUGUGAUGAGAUGGGGGAAGUGGGCUCAGGAGGUCUGGAUCUGUGAUGAGAUGGGGGAAGUGGGCUCAGGAGGUCUGGAUCUGUGAUGAGAUGGGGGAAGUGGGCUCAGGAGGUCUGGAUCUGUGAUGAGAUGGGGAAAGUGGGCUCAGGAGGUCUGGAUCUGUG